rnacentral:rRNA from 1 species
GAUGAACGCUGGCGGCGUGCCUAAUACAUGCAAGUCGAGCGAACAGACGAGGAGCUUGCUCCUUUGACGUUAGCGGCGGACGGGUGAGUAACACGUGGAUAACCUACCUAUAAGACUGGGAUAACUUCGGGAAACCGGCGCUAAUACCGGAUAACAUGUUGAACCGCAUGGUUCAACAGUGAAAGACGGUCUUGCUGUCACUUAUAGAUGGAUCCGCGCCGCAUUAGCUAGUUGGUAAGGUAACGGCUUACCAAGGCAACGAUGCGUAGCCGACCUGAGAGACUGAUCGCCCACCCUGGAGCUGAGACACGGUCAAGACUCCUGCGGGAGGCAGCAGUAGGGAAUCUGACGCAAUAGGCGAAAACCUGACGGAGCAACGCCGCGUGAGUGAAGAAGGUCUUCGGAUCGUAAAACUCUGUUAUGAGGGAAGAACAAAUGUGUAAGUAGCUAUGCACGUAUUGACGGUACCUAAUCAGAAAGCCACGGCUAACUACGUG